AACACUUCCGACUUCCUACAUGCUCCACUUACACACGCUCACACGCCAAACAACCAUCCGCAAAAAGGUUCAGUGGCAAGGCUUAGUCGAUGUGAGUGGGUCAGGGCUGGAGUGACAACCGCCGAGACGCCACCUCCCCCACUCCGGCGCUCACCGUCGGCGCACCGACCCAUCAACCAUUUAAAUCCAGCGCCUCCUUUCUAGCAACUCACUUUAAGCCAUUCGCUCUCACGUCGUUCUCUAGCCGCGCACAGUGCCAAACUCAUCCUCAUCUCGCAGCAGCAUGUUCGGAGGUCUUGACCCCACUGGGCUAUAUUGAGAGAUUUUGUGCCAUUUUUAACAAGUUCUUUCUGAUUUUUCGUAAAUUUAAACACGACAUUUUCGCAAUCAUGGACGGAGACAAGUUAGAUCCUACCGGACAGUACUAGUGUGUGACAGUUAACGAAAAAAAGACUUUUAACGAUGCAGAAAACGGGAGGCAAGGGCCUAGACCCCACAGGACUAUACUAAAAUUAAGGAUGUGGCCCCACCGAGGCAACGGUGGACGACAAACUUCCAGUUGCCGCCGUAAAAGACUAUGAUCUUGUUUCGACAAAUACACAGAUUAACAUCUCACUGCCACACAAGUUACCGUUGAUACUUUUGUCCACCCAACAAUUCUGGAUACUUGAAGACUGAUGUUUGUUGUUUUUUAUUACUUUUAAGAUUGUUUUUUUAUUAAAUUAUAUGUAGGUUAAGUUCCUUGAGAACAUCAUCCAUUAUAAUGUAUGUUUCUCUUAUAUUUUUGUAUAUAAGACAAAAUGUCCAAAUGUAUAUGUUUCCAUCCCGUGCUUUUUAUACUAUUAUAUGAAGUUUUUCAUUAAAUAUUUUUAUAUUU